GUGAGGAAUAUUGGUCAAUGGGCGAGAGCCUGAACCAGCCAAGUCGCGUGAAGGAUGAAGGUUUUAUGAAUUGUAAACUUCUUUUGCAGGGGAAUAAAGUACGGUACGUGUACCGUUUUGUAUGUACUCUGCGAAUAAGGAUCGGCUAACUCCGUGCCAGCAGCCGCGGUAAUACGGAGGAUCCAAGCGUUAUCCGGAUUUAUUGGGUUUAAAGGGUGCGCAGGCGGGUUGAUAAGUCAGCGGUGAAAGUUUGCAGCUUAACUGUAAAAUUGCCGUUGAAACUGUCGAUCUUGAGUGCAAAUGAGGUAAGCGGAAUGUGUUGUGUAGCGGUGAAAUGCUUAGAUAUAACACAGAACUCCGAUUGCGAAGGCAGCUUACUGGGAUGCAACUGACACUGAUGCACGAAAGCGUGGGUAUCAAACAGGAUUAGAUACCCUGUAGUCC
rnacentral:rRNA from 1 species